AUGGCCGCCAGUUGCUUCAACUUUAUAAUGGCAUUGUUUAUGUCGGCCCCGUUAAAACUAGAGAUGAUCCCAAGAUGGCAGAGCGUUCAAGUUGUUCUCCUUCCCCUGGGGCGAUUUCUUCCCCUCUCACCGCCGAGCAGAGGAGGAGAAAAGAUAACUGGAGUCAGGAGGAAAUGCUCUGCCUGGCCCAGUUAUAUCAAGAGCACAAAUCAACAAUAAAGGCAGACUUUAGUGUCGUCAAUGCCCGGGGGAAGGCAGCUGCCUGGGAGGACAUCACCCGACGCCUGACGGAGUCUUUUCCCCGCGGCAGGACCACCAAGGACUGCCAAAAGAAGUGGCAGUCUAUUCAGGCAAAUGCGAAGAUCAAUAUCUCCGCCCAGAAGCAAGACCCCACUGCCACAGGUGGUGGUCUGGCUCCUCCUCCUCUCUCACAGCUGGACAACCUCGUCGCUGACAUCCUGGGGAGCAAUACUGUGGUGAUAGGUGGCUGCCACGAUCGGCCAAAUGAUGAGCCACCUACUUAUCCCCUAGCGACCAUCGGCUACGAGGAUGAAAGACACAAAAGUUAACUUGAGUUCAUCUCUGGAUGGGCUCCGUGCGGACCCUGGGCUCCAUUGAUGACGUCACUGACGGUUGACGGAUCCAUGAAGACGGAAUAGUGGGAACCCCGCCUUAGUCAUCCCACAAUAUGUAGUUAUAUUUAGGUGUCCAAAGUUACCCCAUUUUGAGCCAUUUUUCGACAUGCCUCCAUUCAAGUGACAUUUACAGGUGUGAAGGAUAUGUUAAGCACCCCUGAAUAGAAUAGAUAAGCAUGUUUCUGAUUGUUUUCUCUAGUUUUGAUGUUGUGUGUAAUACAGAUCGUUCCUGCCAGAAGUUUUCCAAGGGGGUAAAUUUUACAAAAUCUCAAAAACACAUAGGCCGGUAUUAUAAGACACUUUGGCUUCUUACAUCAGCUAUUUCUAAAGGUCAAAGAGGGAGGCAGUCGGGUUCUAAUGAGUGUUUCUUUAUGUUCACGGUAGAGAGGAAGGGUCAAACUACCACCAGGGUCAUACAACUACUCCUGUAAAUGCCCACAACUCCUAUGAAAGCCUUGUCAAAUAUGUGUUCUUGGGCAGCGAAAUGUCUUAUAAUACGCCCAAUAGAGUAUUGUCCUUGUUUUCAAAACAGAAACGUGUCUCAUGAAAACAACAUUCUUAUUAAAAAACUAUAAGGCAAAAGACAAAUUCUAACUCUAAAAUCAUCAAGCUUGUUGCAACUGGCUGCGAGUUAUCAACAUGUCACCUUUUUAUCCACUUUUUGUCCGAAGUCACCCCAGUUGACGGUACCUGUUUAGUUUAUUAACGCACUGAGAAAUAAAUUAAUGCUCGCUUUCACAGAACUCAGCAAACUUUUUGGUACAGUUCUGUGUCUGCGGGAAUUCACUGAUAAAGUUUGGUAGGUGAGGGGUUCAGUUCCUUAGUGGGCCGGCAGAAUUUGUCCGCUCUAUUGUAAGCACUUUCAUUCUUGUCCUUUCGUGAAUCACCUUUCAUCUGGAGUCAUGAAGAGACAUUUUUAGUUACAAUAAUAAACACCAAAAGAGAACUUUAAGCUCGUAUACCGAACAAAGUUUGUUAUACGUAUAUGAAAAGUUUGGACCUCUCGGACUUAAUGGAUCUUCGGAUACAUCACCUCCUUCUCCCCAAUCAGUUUGUUAUAGCGAGGGUUUAUCAAAUUGCAAAGUUGCAUGAUUACUUUGCAGAAAAAAUGCAUAUUUGUCUAACCUGACUGUAAUAGAUUUGCACACUUCCAUGAUUGUCUGGGACCCAAAAGGUAUAUGUUAGGUGCCAUGAAAAUAACUUCACAAAUGCAUUUUUUUUCUUUUGCCAUGCUUGAGUGCACAUGCUCUUAGUGUAUGGCACACAGCAAAGUUGUCAUAAUAAAAGGUUUCAAUAGGAAUUCCUCUACAGUACCCUCUCGAGUUUCGCGCUAUCCGAGUUUUGCGGUUAGUACUAAAUUCUUACCAUCCCGAUUCGCGCAUUAUCACCCCGAGUUUCGCACUGCUUUGACACGUACGGGUCAUGUCUACUUAUCAUCGGCGUCGUGCACGUUACCUUUAAAGGUAGUAUCACACUGGAUGUUUUCCUCCAGACAUUGUGGCUAUGGCAAGAGAGAGAGAACGGGUCGUUUUGAAGCCGCAGUUGAAGGAGGCUGCCUUACAAUUGGCUGACAGUUCUGAAAACACGCUUGUGAUUUGCUUGGAGUCCGAUGACGUCAUCGCCG